AGUGAACGCUGGCGGUAGGCCUAACACAUGCAAGUCGAACGGCAGCACAGUAAGAGCUUGCUCUUACGGGUGGCGAGUGGCGGACGGGUGAGGAAUACAUCGGAAUCUACUUUUUCGUGGGGGAUAACGUAGGGAAACUUACGCUAAUACCGCAUACGACCUACGGGUGAAAGCAGGGGAUCUUCGGACCUUGCGCGAUUGAAUGAGCCGAUGUCGGAUUAGCUAGUUGGCGGGGUAAAGGCCCACCAAGGCGACGAUCCGUAGCUGGUCUGAGAGGAUGAUCAGCCACACUGGAACUGAGACACGGUCCAGACUCCUACGGGAGGCAGCAGUGGGGAAUAUUGGACAAUGGGCGCAAGCCUGAUCCAGCCAUACCGCGUGGGUGAAGAAGGCCUUCGGGUUGUAAAGCCCUUUUGUUGGGAAAGAAAAGCAGCAGGUUAAUACCCCGCUGUUCUGACGGUACCCAGAGAAUAAGCACCGGCUAACUUCG
rnacentral:rRNA from 1 species